AACGAACGCUGGCGGCAUGCCUAACACAUGCAAGUCGAACGAGACCUUCGGGUCUAGUGGCGCACGGGUGCGUAACGCGUGGGAACCUUCCCUUAGGUUCGGAAUAACUCCCCGAAAGGGGUGCUAAUACCGGAUAAUGUCUUCGGACCAAAGAUUUAUCGCCUUUGGUUGGGCCCGCGUUGGAUUAGCUAGUUGGUAGGGUAACAGCCUACCAAGGCGACGAUGGAUAGCUGGUCUGAGAGGGGGAUCAGCCACACUGGGACUGAGACACGGCCCCGGCUCGGGCGGGAGGCAGCAGGAGGGAAUCUUCCGGAAUGGGCGAAGGCGUGACGGAGCAACGGCGCGUGAGGGAUGAAGGUCUUAGGAUGGUAAAACUCUGUUAUUAGGGAAGAACAUAUGUGUAAGUAACUGUGCACAUCGUGACGGGACCUAAUCAGAAAGCCACGGCUAACUACGUG
rnacentral:rRNA from 1 species